ensembl:lincRNA C130083M11Rik RIKEN cDNA C130083M11 gene
CCUUGCUUUCACCAUUGCUCCAUUUGUUGCCUGUGUCCACUGAGAGGGCACAUCAGUCGUCAAAAGACCCAGAAAACAACAGUAUUCCUCCAUCUGGAACUUACACACCACUUUGUAUGCUGGGAAAAUAAUACGCGGCUCCCCCCAUAUUGCAAUGGGAGUUACGGGUGCUGAAGAUUAGGACUCGGGUCCUCAUGCUUGUGCACUGAGUCCUUUAUCCACAAAGCCAUCUCUCCCAGCUGGACUUCACCCAUUUCUGAGGUGGAGUUCCUACUCCAUGGAGCAUUCAGGACCUCUUCUCUGCAUUCCUUGAUAUCAGUAGCGAAAGCACAAGUGACUUUCUUAAAGAUGCCAACUUUGAUCAUCUGGCAUGUUUCUCUGGAUUUGCUGUGUGUGAGAAAUAUUUACCCCAUCACGACUUAUCUGUGUUUCACGUGCUUCACUAAACAAGUUUUGACAUGACUCACCUUGGCAUCUUUUGCCAUUUAAAGGCUUUGGAUAUUUGUGUGUGGAUUCCUGAAUGACUCUGUCUGACUUACUCCACCUUGUAAAUGGAGAACUAUCCCGACUGUAACCUGGAGGCUACUGCUUUCUUAAGAGCAUUGCUGUUCAUUGAAAUAGUUAUCUCAUGGCUUAUUUGGCUGGAUUCCUGAUAGCUAAAGGCAUCCGUGAGGUUGAUGGAGAUAGCGGAGAAGGUCAUCCAUUCAUUGAUCUGUUAGGACCUCCACAAUGCUGAAUAGAUCCAUCCUUUCAUCUCAGUUAACUAGAACAGCUUUAGAAGGUCCUUCAACAAAAGUUGGCAUCUUUCCCAACCACCUGGGAAUGUAGAAGAAAACAGGAUUGGACUGUUCAGAGGAUAUGGUCUCCAACCUGCUAAAGACAGCAACUGUGUUUUCUUCCAAACUGUCAGAUAUUCACCUACAGGAUCCCUAACUUGCUAAUGUGGUUCCUUCCACACCUAAGACCUGCUGUUGCUGACAAUCUUGCUGACAAUCCCAACAUAGCUGCUCCUUGAAUUGAGUUCAGCACUUCUUAAAUAUUUCCCACUUGCAACCCAUUUUCACUUGAAAUUUGUUUCUGGUGCUGAUGAUUGAACCCCCUUCAUACAUGCAAGUACUCUACCACUGAGCUACAACUUCAGCCCCUGCCUCAGUAAUUUAUAUAUAGUUUAUAAGACAGAUACACAAAUAAAGCAUUUGCUGGGAAGAAAUCAUAAAGAAAUUUACUUUAAAACAGUUAUUUUGUAUAGAUAUAUUUUAAAGACAUAGGGAGUUGAGACAGGGUCUCUCUGUACAGCCCUAGAACUGUCCUAGAACUCACUCUGUAGACCAGGUGAGCCUCAGACUCAGAGAUCCACCUGCCUCUGCCUCUAGAAUAGUGGGAUCUAAGGUGUGUGUAGCCAAUGCCCAGCUGACAAUUUUUAAAUAUACUUAUGACAUUUUUAUUGAGUAUACAUGUGUAUAUAUGCAUACACAUGCCAUAAAGCAUGUGUGGAGAUCCAACAACUUGCAGGAAUCACUUCUCUUCUUACCAUGUGGACCCUAAGGACCAAACUCCGGUCACUGGUCUUGGCAGCAAGCAACCUCUACCUACUGAGUCAUCUCAUGGACCUGGUGUACUGACUAAUGUUCUGUCCAUUUGGCAUAGGCUAGAGCCAGUUGAGAGUAUGGAGCCCCGAUUGAGAAAAUGCCUCCAGAAGACUGGGCUGCAGACAAGCCUGUAGAGCACUUUCUUGAUUAGUGAUUGAUGUGGAAGUGGGAGGGCCCAGCCCAUUGACUGAUGUGGAUGGGGUCAUCCCUGGGAUUGUGGUUCUAGGUUCUAUAAGCAAGCAGAUAAACAAGCUCUGGGAAGCAAACCAGAAAACAGCAGCCCUCCAUGGCUUCUGUAUCAGCUCCUGCCUCCAGGUUCCUGCCCUGUGUGAGUUCCUGUCCUAACUUCCUUUGAAGAUGAACAGUGAUAUGGAAGUGCAAGCCAAAUAAAUUCUUCCCUCCCCACUUCAAAAGUUAAUUUGGCUAUGGUGUUGGUGUUUGAUCACAGUAAUAGUAGCUCUAACUAAGAUACCUGGAAUGGAUUUAAUUUACAUUGGAGAAUAAAUCAAUUUUGCAUACU